rnacentral:rRNA from 1 species
GGGCCGGGGCGGCGGCGCACAGCUGGCAAGCCGAGGGGGCGCAACUUCGGAUGAAGUUUCCGGUCGGAAUCAGGUCCGACUCACCGGCGGACGGGUGAGUAACACGUGGAAAACCCGCCUUCAACCGGGGGAUAACAGCCAGAAACGGCUGCUAAUACCGCAUAAGCGCACGGCGCCGCAUGGCGCAGUGUGAAAAACUCCGGUGGUAUAAGAUGGAUCCGCGCCUGAUUAGCUAGUUGGCGGGGCAGCAGCCCACCAAGGCGACGAUCAGUAGCCGGCCUGAGAGGGCGACCGGCCACAUUGGGACUGAGACACGGCCCAAACUCCUACGGGAGGCAGCAGUGGGGAAUAUUGCACAAUGGGGGGAACCCUGAUGCAGCGACGCCGCGUGAGUGAAGAAGUAUUUCGGUAUGUAAAGCUCUAUCAGCAGGGAAGAAGAUGACGGUACCUGACUAAGAAGCCCCGGCUAACUACGUGCCAGCAGCCGCGGUAAUACGUAGGGGGCAAGCGUUAUCCGGAUUUACUGGGUGUAAAGGGAGCGUAGACGGCAGGGCAAGUCUGGAGUGAAAGCCCGGGGCCCAACCCCGGGACUGCUUUGGAAACUGCCAUGCUAGAGUGCUGGAGAGGUAAGCGGAAUUCCUAGUGUAGCGGUGAAAUGCGUAAAUAUUAGGAGGAACACCAGUGGCGAAGGCGGCUUACUGGACAGUAACUGACGUUGAGGCUCGAAAGCGUGGGGAGCAAACAGGAUAG